rnacentral:rRNA from 1 species
AUUGAACGCUGGCGGCAGGCCUAACACAUGCAAGUCGAACGAGUGGCGGACGGGUGAGUAAUGUCUGGGAAACUGCCUGAUGGAGGGGAAUAACUACGGGAAACGGUAGCUAAUCCCGCAUACCAUCGGAUGUGCCCAGAUGGGAUUAGCUUGUUGGUGGGGUAACGGCUCACCAAGGCGACGAUCCCUAGCUGGUUUGAGAGGAUGACCAGCCCCACUGGAACUGAGAAACGGUCCAGACUCCUCCGGGAGGCAGCAGUGGGGAAUAUUGCCCAAUGGGCGCAAGCCUGAUGCAGCCAUGCCGCGUGUAUGAAGAAGGCCUUCGGGUUGUAAAGUCCGUUCAGCGGGGAGGCGUUACCCGCAGAAGAAGCACCGGCUAACUCCGUGCCAGCAGCCGCGGUAAUAC